rnacentral:rRNA from 1 species
AUUGAACGCUGGCGGCAGGCCUAACACAUGCAAGUCGAGCGGGGUUUUCGGACCUAGCGGCGGACGGGUGAGUAAUGCGUAGGAAGCUGCCCGAUAGAGGGGGAUACCAGUUGGAAACGACUGUUAAUACCGCAUAAUGUCUACGGACCAAAGUGUGGGACCUUCGGGCCACAUGCUAUCGGAUGCGCCUACGUGGGAUUAGCUAGUUGGUGAGGUAAUGGCUCACCAAGGCGACGAUCUCUAGCUGGUUUGAGAGGAUGAUCAGCCACACUGGAACUGAGACACGGUCCAGACUCCUACGGGAGGCAGCAGUGGGGAAUAUUGGACAAUGGGCGCAAGCCUGAUCCAGCCAUGCCGCGUGUGUGAAGAAGGCCUUCGGGUUGUAAAGCACUUUCAGCGAGGAGGAAGGGUGGUGUGUUAAUAGCACAUCAUUUUGACGUUACUCGCAGAAGAAGCACCGGCUAACUCUGUGCCAGCCGCCGCCGUAACAC